GAUGAACGCUGGCGGCGUGCCUAAUACAUGCAAGUCGAGCGAACGGACGAGAAGCUUGCUUCUCUGAUGUUAGCGGCGGACGGGUGAGUCACACGUGGUUGACCUACCUAUAAGACUGGGAUGACUUCGGGGAACCGGAGCUAAUACCGGAUAAUAUUUUGAACCGGAUGGGGCACAAGUUAAAGAAGGUCUUGCUGUCGCUUAAAGAUGGAUCCGCGCUGUAUUACCUAGGUGGUGAGCGAACGGCUUACCAAGGCAACGAUGCAUAGCCGACCUGAAAGGGAGAGCGGCUAGACUGGAAGUGAGACACGGCCCAGACUCUUACGGUAGGAAGCAGCAGAGACUCCUACGCAAUGGAGGAAAGCCUGACAGAGCACCAUCGCGGGAGGGAUGAUGGACUACUGCCGGGAAAGCGCUGUUAGUAGUGAAGAACAUAAGCGCAAGUACCCGUGAACAUCUUGACGGUACCUAAACAGAAAGCCCCGGCUAACUCCGUG
rnacentral:rRNA from 1 species